UCCGCCUUGUAUAUAUAAGCAUGGAAUAAUAAUAUCGGAUCUUGGUUCUAUUUUGUUGGUUUCUAGAGCUAAGAUAAUGAUUAAUAGGGACAAUUGGGGGCAUUCGUAUUAACGCGUCAGAGGUGGAAUUCUUGGAUUGCGUUACGACGAACUACUGCGAAAGCAUUUGCCAAGGAUGUUUUCAUUGAUCAAGAACGAAAGUUAGGGGAUCGAAGACGAUUAGAUACCGUCCUAGUCUUUACCAUAAAUUAUGCCAACUAGAGAUUGGACCUCGUUUUUUUUAGACUGGAUGGGCCCCUUAUGAAGAAUCCAAGUCUUUGGAUUUCCGGGGGAGUAUGGGCCCCAGGGUUAAACUUAAAGGAAUUUAACGAAGGGCACCACCCAGAAUGGAACCCGCCGGUUAAUUUUACUCCACACCGGGAAACUUACCCAGGCCCGAACUGGGCGGGAAUGACCGAUUGAGAGCUUCUUCCUUGAUUCAUGGGUGGGGGUGCAUGGGCCUUCCUAAUUGGUGGAAUGGAUUGGCUGGGUAAUUUCCUUUACCAACCAAACCCUAACCUUGCUAAUAAUUUACAUGUAAAUUACGUGACGUGCUUCUCUUCUGAACUAUACUUUCUGUGUUAUAGAAAUGUGAGGCUAAAGCAAGACAAUGAUGCCCAUACACGUACAGGUCCGGAGCCGCGCUCCCAUGAUACUGAUACCCUCAACAACUUUGACACAAUGGCCUCGGGGGAUCGUUUAAUCUUUUUACACGGCUGCGGAUUGAGCUUUAGAUAUUUGCAUUUUUGAACCUUGAAUCCGAAUACCCAUAAUCCCCCACCUGUGCUGAUUACUGUCUCUGCUCCUUGUCAUUUGAAAAAUUG
rnacentral:rRNA from 1 species